rnacentral:lncRNA from 1 species
CAUCACGUUAUUGAUGAGCCGGAAGGCAUAGUUGGGGUAGGAAACCAACCCCAUCGAUGUUGAUAGAAAUGUUCGCGACGCCAUGAAGACAGCCUUCCUCUAUUCGAACUCGCUGGCUACUCUUAGAAAUAGAUAUAAAAUGUUCACUUUUUUGUUAAUAACAUGUAAUUGAUAUAACGAAAGGAUAAUGCUGUUUGUAUAAUAUUUUUUUGACAACGUUGAUUAUCCCUUCUCAAUUGAUCCUACUGGGCUUCAAUCUCAUGGCCCAAAUAAACAACAUAAAAUGCUCCAAGUAUCCACCGAAAAUCAAGCAAACUAGGGUUUUUAAUCGACUCCUGAUCCGUAAAUCAAUAGAGGAAAAUGAUUUACGACGUUAAUUCUCCACUUUUCCGAUCCUUCCUCAGCCAGAAAGGAGGUUCUUCUGAUAAGAGGUAUUUACCGUUUAAUCAUGUUUUUAUGACUUUCUAGAUUUUCUCGAUUUUUUAUUUUUAUUUUUAUUAUUAUACAUAUUACGUUUUUCUUUCACAAUCUAGCUUUUACUAUAUCAUUAUAUCAUCUAUGAGAUCAUUCAACCGACAAUUCAGUUCUUGGGAUGUUCUUCUGAUUUUUAUAUAAAUUGUUGGCUAAACUGAACUCCUUACGGUUUUUAUGCAUUUGUUGGAAGAGUUUCAUUGAAUUUUUGAAAUGGGUUGAAUAACUUUGUACUUCCAUUACAAGAUUGAUGUUAUAAACUGAAUGUUCGCAUUGAUUCACAGCACUCUCUAGGUUUAAUUGGUUGUGUUUUCUUUCUUUAUCCUCUGUAGUUGUUAAGUGGAUACUGCUGCUUAUAGCUUAUUUGACGACUUGAUUAGAAGUCGUAAUCAAGCGCACAGAUGAAGCCCAAUAAUUAUGAAGUAGUAAUAUUGUAUUAUCCCAGUAUAUCUGCACAUAAUUGGGUUGAAACAGCUUAUGUUAAGUUGUUUCAAUCUACUGCAGAACUUGUACACUUCCAUUGUACAUUGUUUCAAUAUAUUUUGUUAUGCCUUUCAAGAUUCGAUCUGGUGAGGACGUGCUUUGGCAAAUUUAAAGCAACUUUUUUGAAGAGGAAAAUUAAGUUAGUUGCUUAAAUUUGAAUGUUGUCUCGGUUUAAUUGACGGGCUUUGUACACUUGAACGCAAUUCCAGGAAAACGGAAGAGCAGAAGCCGAGGGAACAUAAGCCAAAGGCAAAUGAAAACAAGCCGGUCAUGACAGAGUAAUAAGAGUAAGCUUUAAACAUGGAUAGAUUACCUUGAAGGCUAUUGAUAAUUUUUAUUAAGCAUUCUAUCCUUGAACUAGUUGUGCUAUUUGUGGUUUAAAUCCAGAUGUUACAUAAAUGGCCAUAGCUUUUGGUUUGGAAAUUUGAUCUUAGUGUUUAUUUGGAUGUUUUAUUUCGGAGAAGAGUGGGAGAAAGAUAGUGAAUUGGCGAAAAUGUGGAUAAUUACACGAGCUAAAAUGUGGCAAUCGAAUUAGAUUGAAAUUUGUGUGUGGAAUCUUUCAUCUGAUGAAUUCAAAGACCACACACAAAUUUAUAGAUGUCUAUUCUUUGCUUUUAAAAAUUAUAAAGCUCGUGUAAUUGUAUCCACAUUCUUCUUGUUUCCGAAAUUCAGGAGGAGAUUCACUGUCCAUGCUUCUGUCCUAUUUACCAUUUGGGAUAGGGCAAUGUCUGGACGAUAAAUUUUGCUAUCCUUGUGCAUAGCCAGUCUAGUCUCACUUCCGCUUCUCAAGAUCAAGAUUAAAUGAAUGCAGUUCUCGUUCUAUAAAACAGAUAUGCUUCUAAAUUAUAAUCUUUUGCUUUUGAGGAAGUGAUGAUCCACCAAGACAAAAAUAAUCUUCAACUCUUAUUAUUAAGGUAAAAAGCAGGUACAAUUUAAGAUUAUUUAGACCUUAAUCGUAUUAUACCACAAUUCUAAAUAUUAUAAAAUCUUUUAAUUAUAUGAAAAUUUUUAUUUAACCCCAAUUAUCUGUAAG